rnacentral:lncRNA from 1 species
UACACUUCAGUAAACUCUUUGAUUAUCAAGCAUCUCUUGCCCAGAAGUACAUUACUUACCGUAUGAUCCUGCCAUCACAUAGUGAAAUUUACACUGCUGAUCCAGUUAAUGUUGAAUAUAUACUCAAAACAAACUUCAUCAAUUAUGGCAAGGUAAUAAAAUUUCGUUUGGCUGAUUAGGUUUCAUCAGUAUUUGGAUUCACUAAAACUGAAAUUUGGUUGUGAUGUUUCCGCAGGGGGAGUAUCAUUGUGACAUAAUGAAAGAUCUGUUUGGGGAUGGAAUUUUUGCAGUGGAUGGAGAAAAAUGGCGCCACCAGCGGAAGCUUGCAAGUUAUGAAUUCUCAACGAAAGUUUUGCGAGAUUUCAGUACUUCUGUUUUUCAAGAUAAUGCUGCAAAAUUGGUUUUGAAGGUUUCUAUGGUGGCUGCAGCUAAGCAAAUGAUGGAUUUGCAGGUUUGUAGUAGGCUAGAAGCUGUAGAAUUUAAUGGGCCAUUAUCCUCGAUUCUAAAACAACUUCUAAGGACUUCUAAAUUAAAUGACUUCGAUUACUAAUUUUCGCUUCAGGUUUUUAGGUACCACCUGAUUCUAUGGAGUAGGUAAAAAGUUUGAUCUUAGGGUUUAAAUUCUUACAUGUUCAGUUAACUACAUGACUAAGUUUCAAAGUUUGGUACACUCCUUUUCUUCUAGAGAAAAAAGGUUUGUAAAUAUGCUAUUAUAAAUCUUGUUAACAUUCAAUAGUCUCAUUCUUCCUCUUCCUUGAUUGCAGGCACAACUUUUGCAUUCAGUAUUGAAUAACUGAGGAGCUUGUGUUUCUCUCAUUUCUUUUUUUUUUUUUUUAGGAUAUGUUGAUGAAAUCAACUUUGGACUCGAUUUUUAAGGUGGGAUUUGGGGUUGACCUGAAUUCUCUAUCUGGCUCAGAUGUUUUCGGAAAUCAAUUCAUCAAAGCCUUUGAUGAUUCUAAUGUCAUUGUGUAUUGGAGAUAUGUUGAUCUAUUAUGGAGGAUUAAGAGGUUCCUUAAUUUAGGCUUGGAAGCUGCUCUUAAGCAUAACAUCAAAGUCAUUGACAGUUUUAUUUUUGAAUUAAUUAGAUGCAAGAGGGAGCAGAUGAAGAAUAAAGAGCUUGAUGUAAGUAAAUUUUACCUUAAAAAGGUAUUCCUUGUGUGUGUUAUGGACUAAUGAAGUUUUUUGGCAACCAGAGAGGAAAAGAGGAUAUAUUAUCAAGGUUUCUGCUGGAGAGUAAGAAGGAUCCAAAGAAAAUGAAUGAUCGAUAUUUGAGAGAUAUAAUUCUCAGUUUCGUCAUUGCUGGUAAGGACACAUCUGCUGACACGCUUACUUGGUUCUUUUACUUGCUCUGCAAGCAUCCUCUGGUUCAAGAAAAGGUUGUGCUGGAGGUGAGAGAAGCAACUAAAGCUCAGAUUAACAUACCUGCUGAUGAGUUUGCCAAGAAGAUAACAGAAAAAUCCCUCGACAAGAUGCAGUAUCUUCAUGCAGCGUUAACUGAGACUCUCAGACUCUACCCAGCAGUUCCUAUGGUAAUGUGUGCACACUUUGAUCCAAGCCCAUGCCCGUUUUCCAUUUAUCCUCGUUGGUUACAAUAUGGAGGUGCAAAGGGCUUCACAACCUUGGCAGUGCCAUAUAAUCAUCAUAUAUUUUCCUAUGUUUAUGUGGGAAUUCUAUGUGGUGGGAUUCCUCCUUCCACCUGCACUUUUUCUUUUUUCAUAUUUGAGAUUAGGGAUCAGAUUUGAAAUACUUCUCAAUUGCAGCUCAAUUUCUAUGCUAUGUACCUAUAGGUCUCUGGUUUUGUGGGGUCAGACACAUAUUGUAACAAGAAGUUGUUCUUACCACUAAAACGAAGUGGGAGAAGAGUUGGAAUGGUGCUCCUUUAUCCAAACAGGGCCUAUUUGUUUUGUUAUAUCCUUUCAAAACCUGGUUUUCUUUUCUACUAUGGUACUGAGUUUUAGAGUGUAUAUAAGAAAAUUGUUGCAAAUGGGUGAGUAGUUGCACUUAAGUUACCAUUCAAACCUCCACAAUAUAAUUAAUUUUGGUGAUGUGAUCAGUGAAAUGCAAAUAUUUAUUUUCCUAGUUGGUCACUACCCAGGUUCAGAUUCUUUGAAGCAGCUAGGACCUUAAUGAAUUGGUUAAAUUCCAGUACUUUUUUUUAAUUAUUUAGAAGUUAAAGGAGACAAAAUUGCAACUUAAAACUAGAAUUUUCUAAUCUAUUGUACUCUAAAUACAGGAUGGAAAGCAUUCAGAAGAAGAUGAUAUUCUUCCUGAUGGCUUCAAAGUAAAGAAAGGAGAUGGUAUGUGCUACAUGGCUUAUGCCAUGGGGAGAAUGAGAUGCAUUUGGGGUGAGGAUGCGGGGGAGUUUCGACCUGAAAGAUGGCUUGAGAAUGGUGUUUUCCAACCUGAAAGUCCUUUUAAAUUCACUGCUUUUCAGGUAUGCAGCCAUUUUUCCAACUACAUAUACCACACACUUCUUGAUUCAUCGAUCUUAUAUAUAUACACAUAUAUCGUGACAAGGAAGAAGUAUUUUCUCAUUAUUUUUCAAUGUCAGGCUGGUCCUCGGAUUUGCUUGGGAAAGGAAUUUGCUUAUAGGCAACUGAAGAUCUUGGCUGCUGUUCUUGUCUACUUUUUUAAAUUCAAACUUGUGGAUGAGAGGAAGGAGGCCAGGUAUCGAACCAUGUUCACCCUUCACAUGGAUCAAGGUCUCCAUCUAUAUGCAUUUCCUAGACUGUAAAUCACAAAAAUGCAAAUCUUCUUCCAUGGUAUAGUCAUAUACCAUGGAGUGUCAUUUUCUUGGGAGAAUGUCUACUUUGAAAAAUCAUAGUUGAAGUGGUUGAAAAGUUAAGGGUGGGUCGAACAUCUGGAAAUUGAGAAGUGUGAACAUCUUCAUUUUGAAACUCAAAUUUUAUUUUAUUAUCUCAAUUAUGAAUUUCUUUAAUUAAUAUGUGAUAGUCAAAUAUCAAAAUAAAAUGCAACCACACAAUGGACAUGUGAUGUACUUGAAAAACUAUCUACACCAAUCCUAGAAUAAGUCCAUCAAAUAUGAAAGAGUAAGUACAUAAUAUUACCUGGAACAGACAUUACCUUCUCUCAAGAGUUUUAUACUAACCAAUAUCUACACUUGUGUUCCUGUUUGUGAUACAUCUUGUACUCCUCAUUGAACUCCUCAAUAAUUUGAAGGUGCAAUCAAUUACCAUGAACAAACCUUAAUAAAAAAUAAGGCUUUUGAAAGUGAUGAGAAUGUAUUGAAGAAUAAUGAUAUUAUUGUUCUAGGGCACUCCUCUACACAUUAUUUUUACACAAUCAAAAAUGACAAUCGAUAUACACCCUUUAAUGUUAUUAUCCACCCAUACAUGCUCAAUCACACUUAGCUGAUUAGUCCGAGGUUAGGAUUUAUGAUGAUAUCUGUGGACCCGCGUUUUUCACGUGCGUCCUCACUUGAAUGACGAGACUCGCUUUUUGUUUAUUUGUGAAAAGUUGAUUUUUAGAAAAAGACUUGGGUGGUGUUUGUUUUAUGGCUGAAUAAAAAAAAUCAAAAUAUUUGGUUUUUUCUAUUCAGUUAAAAGUAACCCAUUGACAUCAACGAACAUAAUUAAACUAAACUUAUUAAUAAGAAAUUUACUUUAAUUAUGUUGGUUAAUACCAAUAAGAUACUUUUAGCUUAAUAGAAAAAGUCAAAUAUUUUGACUUUUUCUAUUCAACUAAAAAACAAACACCACCUUGGAGUCACUAUUUAUUUUAAUUUUUUUUAAAGGGAAAACAAAAUAAGAAAGAAAAUCUUGUGUGACUAUUUAUUUGGAAAAGACAUGUUUGCAAAAACAGAAUGUGAAUCCAGGGGUCAGGUUGCCUAUUGGGAAGGUACGGUGGUAAGUCCUAUCAUCCCUCUAAGCUUAUAUACAUACGAUCUCUACUAAAUGAAUUAAGGAAAUUGUGACAAUUAAUUAAUUAAUUAUGGAUACUAAGAAAAAUAAUCAUGUAAAUGAGUAUAUACAAAUCAUGAUGAAAAUCAAUAUACAUAAAAAUAAUGAUGAAAUCUAAUCACAAGAAUACACAAAAUAAAUAAUAAGAGAAUUAUGCAAAAUGAUUUAUUGAACUAAAUAAAAAAAUAUUAAAAAAAAAUUAGUUUUCAAUAAAUUUCGAAGAAUUUUAUUAAAAACAAUUUUGAAUGAGUGAUUUCAAUUUAUUUAUUUACAAAGUAUUUUCUUCAAGUGAUUUGAUUCAAUUUUAUUUGUAUUUAAUUUUCAGAAAAGUUAUUUAUAUUUAUUGUAUCAAAAGAAUUUAUUACAAAAUUUUAAUUUGAGCACAAAAAUUAUUUUUACUUGUUUUUACAAAAAAGAAUGAAUUUUUACAAUUUUAUUUACAAAAGUAUGUCAAUUUGUUUUCAUUUAAGAAAAGUGAUUUAUACAAAUUAUUGAAAAAUACAUCACUUUAUUUGCAAAGAAUUUUUAAUUAAAAAGAAAAAAAUUUAAAUCCUCUAUUUCUAAAAAAACUUUUAAUCCCAUUUUAAUUAAGGAAAAAGAAUUCAUUAAAAAAAAUAUAUUUUUUGGACAAUUUUAUUAAAAAUUAAUUUUUGGAACAAGUUUAUUUAUAAAAUAAUUUUUGGACAAUUUUUAUUAAACAAAGAAAUUUUUGGACAAUUAUUAUUAAAAAAAAUUUUCAAAUUCUAUUAAAAACAUUCUUUUUGGAUUUUUCUAAAAGCAUUUUUUUUGAAUUAUUUUUAAUAAAAAACUUUCUUUUAUUAAGAAGAAUAUUUUAAAAUUAUUAUUUUAUUAAAACAUAUUUAUUGAAUUAUUCCUUUUAUUUAAACAAAUUUCUGAUUUGUUUGAUAUCUAAUUCUGUACACAAUAAGUAAGUAUAUAUAAAUAAAUAUUUACAGAAACUAAUAAAAAUAAAACCAAAUAAAAAAGUGAAAAAUAAAAUGUGUAUUCAAACAAGUUUACAACAAGUUUAAUGUCUUCCUACAAUUUUUCAAAAUCUCACUUUCUUCCAUGAAAUUUCAUACUUCACGUGUCAUUAAUUCGUACUCAACCAACAAGAUUGCAGAAUGGGCUUAUGUAAAAACAAAAAUAGUCCAAAUUUAAUAUUAAUUCACCAAAGUUUAGAAUAUGAUAAAUUAAAAUAAAUUUAAUUGGGCCUAAAUUUAAUAUUUCAUACUUCAAACCUAAUUUAAUACACCAACAUAAAUCCACAACUAAAACCAAAUCAAAUUUAAUAUAUAGAGCCCACAUGUAAUAAAAAAAAAAAAAAAUUAAGCCCAACUAGAUAUCCAAUAUGCAUACCCAAAUCUCAAAGCCCAAACAUAUGACCCAUAAAUAAACAUAAAUGGGUAAGCCCAUACCCAAAUUUCAAAGCCCAAACGUGAGACCCACAAACAAACACAAGCCCAAUUUCAAUAACAAUCACUAUUAAAAUCAAAGGAAAAAAAACUUACACAAUUUCAAAUUUUGGAAGGAAGGAUGAGAAAGUGAGAGAAAGUUGAGGAAAUGGAAGAGUGAGAGAGGGAAGGAGGGAGUUGCUGACCGGUAGUGGCUCGUUGGCGGCGAUUGACCGGUGGUCCUAUCGGCGGCAGGAGAGAUUGAUGGGUUUUUUUUGGAAAAUAAAAAAAAAAUAAAAAAAUAAAAAAAUGAAAAAAGGAGAAAAAGGAAUGGAAGGAAGGAAGGAAAUGAGAGGGGCGUGUGGUAGUGUAGUGUCUGGAAGAAGAAGAGCAAGUGGAAUGGGGAGGGAAAAAAAAUAGGGGUCGAUCACUGCCGUGUGUGGGAGUUGGGAAAGCAGGAGAAGAAAAAAAAAAAAAAUGAAAAGUGGAGAUGGGGACCGGCCACCUAGAAAAAUGAGAACAAACAAUGAAAAGAAAAAACAAAC